UACGUAGGGGGCAAGCGUUGUCCGGAUUUAUUGGGCGUAAAGAGCGUGUAGGCGGCCGUACAGGUCAGCUGUGAAAACUCGAGGCUCAACCUCGAGACGUCGGUUGAAACCGUACGGCUAGAGUCCGGAAGAGGAGAGUGGAAUUCCCGGUGUAGCGGUGAAAUGCGCAGAUAUCGGGGAAGAACACCCGUGGCGAAGGCGGCUCUCUGGGACGGUACUGACGCUGAGACGCGAAAGCGUGGGGAGCGAACAGG
rnacentral:rRNA from 1 species